rnacentral:rRNA from 1 species
UACAGAGGUGGCAAGCGUUGUCCGGAAUUACUGGGCGUAAAGGGCGCGUAGGCGGCCUUCUAAGUCAGACGUGAAAUCCCCCGGCUUAACCUGGGAACUGCGUCUGAUACUGGAGGGCUUGAGUGCGGGAGAGGGAUGUGGAAUUCCAGGUGUAGCGGUGAAAUGCGUAGAUAUCUGGAGGAACACCGGUGGCGAAGGCGGCAUCCUGGACCGACACUGACGCUGAGGCGCGAAAGCUAGGGUAGCAAACGGG